UUUUAACGAGAGUUUGAUCCUGGCUCAGGAUGAACGCUGGCGGCGUGCCUAACACAUGCAAGUCGAGCGAAGCGCUUUAGUUGGAUUCUUCGGAUGACGACUUUAGUGACUGAGCGGCGGACGGGUGAGUAACGCGUGGGCAACCUGCCUCGCACAGGGGGAUAACAGUUAGAAAUGACUGCUAAU
rnacentral:rRNA from 1 species